rnacentral:tRNA from 1 species
CACAAGAAAUGCAAAAAGAGCAACUAGUCUUUUAAACUAGCAACUGGGUCCCCCUCUUGUGC